rnacentral:rRNA from 1 species
UACGAAGGGGGGCUAGCGUUGCUCGGAAUUACUGGGCGUAAAGGGCGCGUAGGCGGCACUGUUAGUCAGGCGUGAAAGUCCUGGGCUCAACCUGGGAACUGCGCUUGAUACGGCAGAGCUAGGGGAUGGAAGAGGGUCGCGGAAGUUCCCGGUGUAGCGGUGAAAUGCGCAGAUAUCGGGAAGAACACCCCGUGGCGAAGGCGGCUACGCUGGGGACGGUACUGACGCUGAGGCGCGAAAGCGUGGGGAGCAAACAGG